CCGUGCUAGGUGGGGAAUUAGCGGUGCCCUGUACUUGCAAUCCGCUACAGCAAGACUGAAUCCCUUCCUGAGGUUUAUACGCUGCGAGGUCUGCCCUAAGUAAGUAGUGUUGACAUUUGGGUUCCACGCAACGGAAACUCGUGAACCCUGUCAGGUCCGGAAGGAAGCAGCAGUAAGCGUGACCUUUCGUGUGCCGUGGAGUUGCCUGGAUCGAGCCAACUGCUUAGGUAACGCUUGUGGUGUAUAGAUCGAUGGAAGGUGCGCGG
rfam:Geomicrobium sp. JCM 19039 DNA, contig: JCM19039.contig00006.